UUAAUAAUAACCAUUAGAUCUAGGGAAUCGACGGAUUGGAUUGUGUGCCUAAAUUUUCAUCCGCGUUGCAUUAUAGAAGUUGGCGUAAUGCAGUAUAGGGGUAAUUUGGCCAUUUGACAGAAGCUGAACCGCCAAAUCUUGGAAACUGCUAAUUUUACGGGAUUUCGAACGCAACAAUUCUCCUUCUUCCAUCAGUCAUUAAUCCCACAACCCUUACAUCUACUCCCACUCUCUCCACUACGAAAACCCUAUAUUUCAACAUCCCCAGCGCCGCUUUUGGAGAUUUUUGAUUUUCUCGACCAAAUUUUCCGAGGGAAUUAGCUUUCAACGCUGAAAUCGACUCGGAAACCCCGACUAAUUUCCAAUAGAUCGAAAAUGCCGAAGAGGGGUCGUCCGCUAUCGCAAGUAACAGAGGCUGCAGAAAAAACGAGUAAGAUCAGAACUCGAUGAUGCAGUCGAUGAUUUGAUUCCGGUAAAGGGAAGCAAAAGUCUUGAAAUGUUUCGAAUCAAAUUUGCAAGGGUGCUACUGACUUCUCCCUACAAUGUCCGCGGUGCCGCAAACCAAAAAAAGGCAACCAAGUUCUGGAGAGAUAAACCUAAAAUUUUCAAUUUCGAAAAGUGGGUAGAAAAUUAUGGGUUGUAGGGCGUGAUUAUUUCUAGUAUUUGUUGGAAGAAUUUGCACUUUAUUUCCUUUUUGCAAGCUUGAAUACACUGAACAAUGUUUUUUAAAAUAGCAUUUUUUGAUUUCUAUCA